ensembl:snRNA U4 U4 spliceosomal RNA
AGCUUUGCACAGGGGCGGUAUGGUGGCCAAUGAGGUUUAUCCGCGGCACGAUUAUUGCUACUUGAAAACUUUUCCCAAUACCCCGCCAUGACGACUUGAAAUACAGUCAGCAUUGGCAAUUUUUGAUGUUCUCCAUGGAGA